rnacentral:rRNA from 1 species
GUAACAAGGUCUCCGUUGGUGAACCAGCGGAGGGAUCAUUACCGAGUUUACAACUCCCAAACCCCUGUGAACAUACCAAUUGUUGCCUCGGCGGAUCAGCCCGCUCCCGGUAAAACGGGACGGCCCGCCAGAGGACCCCUAAACUCUGUUUCUAUAUGUAACUUCUGAGUAAAACCAUAAAUAAAUCAAAACUUUCAACAACGGAUCUCUUGGUUCUGGCAUCGAUGAAGAACGCAGCAAAAUGCGAUAAGUAAUGUGAAUUGCAGAAUUCAGUGAAUCAUCGAAUCUUUGAACGCACAUUGCGCCCGCCAGUAUUCUGGCGGGCAUGCCUGUUCGAGCGUCAUUUCAACCCUCAAGCCCCCGGGUUUGGUGUUGGGGAUCGGCGAGCCCUUGCGGCAAGCCGGCCCCGAAAUCUAGUGGCGGUCUCGCUGCAGCUUCCAUUGCGUAGUAGUAAAACCCUCGCAACUGGUACGCGGCGCGGCCAAGCCGUUAAACCCCCAACUUCUGAAUGUUGACCUCGGAUCAGGUAGGAAUACCCGCUGAACUUAAGCAUAUCAA